rnacentral:siRNA from 1 species
AGGAGAGAGACAUAUAUUGUAGAU